rnacentral:rRNA from 1 species
GAUGAACGCUAGCGGGAGGCCUAAUACAUGCAAGUCGAACGGUAACAGGGGUAGCAAUACCCGCUGACGAGUGGCGCACGGGUGCGUAACACGUACACAAUCUACCUUAUACUGGAGCAUAACCUUGGGAAACUGAGGCUAAUUCUCCAUAACAUAUUGAAGAGGCAUCUCUUUAAUAUUAAAACUCAGGUGGUAUAAGAUGAGUGUGCGUCUGAUUAGCUAGUUGGUGGGGUAAUGGCUCACCAAGGCAACGAUCAGUAGCUGGUCUGAGAGGAUGAUCAGCCACACGGGCACUGAGACACGGGCCCGACUCCUACGGGAGGCAGCAGUAGGGAAUAUUGGACAAUGGGCGCAAGCCUGACUC